UAAAAUAAAUAGAUCAGACACCAUAAUGCCUUUAAAACUGUAAAAUAACUAAAACAGCAACUGACCGAAAAUAUAUCAGAUUCGGGCCCCAUUAGCAACCUUAAUUAGUUAUACAUAUCUAUUAAUUCAUAAAAUAGCGUUUUAUCAUUUAUUAAGCUUUAAUGCCGUGAUAGGAAAUAGGAUGAGAGAUCCUUACUUGAUUCGAAAUCUAAGACUGGUUUUUCACUGCGCCUACGAGCGGUCCCUAGAUUCCCUGAUUUUUUUUUCGGGAACUAAAACACACUUCUGGUACCUGCACAUGUCCCCAAAAAACUCCAAAUCAGACUUGGGGCCUACUCGGCCAAUUUCAGAAAUUUCCGCACGGCUGCUCCGCUGUGCUCCAGCGACGGCGAUCC
rnacentral:lncRNA from 1 species